UCCCCGGGGGCCGGUAACCUCUUCCCUCCCCCCGGCCAGGUAGCCCUUCCCCCUCCCCUCCUCCCUCCCCCUCCCCCCGGCCGGGUAGCCCUUCCCCAUCCCUCCCCCUCUCCCUUUCCCCGGCUGGGCCGGCGGGGUAGCAAACAUAUUUUCUGAUGGGCAACCAAAUCUGAGAUUCAGGUUGUCUCUAGACUGUGCAGUCCUUUAAAUUCUGUCUUAUUUAGACUUAUAAUCUUGGGGGGAAGGAUUUUUUUUAGAUGACCGAUGCAUUCAAAUUGUAUGAAUUGCAGUGAAGACAGGAGAGAAUCUAACUCUUUGCGUUUUUUGUUUGUUUGUUCUAACGAAAACAUCAGGAACAAAGUUCUUCAUACAGAUCAUGAGCCACAAGGGUUGAUAUUUUUAGGAGGAGAGUGACACUCAGAGACUGGCUCAAAGCGUCCUCCAACAAAGCUUCAGUUCUUUCAGCAGCAGUAAAAUGGAUUUAGAAGGCAACUAUGUGUAUGCAAUCCGGCCAAGUCGCAGCGUUCUUAUCAGUGAUGUUCAAGGCAUGAAGACCACCAGGAAGUUGCCAUUUUGCAGUCCUCCACAGUGUGCAUCAUGGUUUGUGGGUUCCCACAUUGACCUAGUGGACUAUGUCCCCCAGCUGCAGCAUGUCUGUGGUCUGGAGAAAUGGAUGAUCCAACUAGCAGAUCAAAUUUGCUUUGUGGGGUACAAACUGGUUAUAAAGCUACAGUCAUGUCUUGUGCAGCCAGGGCCUAAAUCAGUUUCCUGGGGAUCAUCCCAGUGAAGUGACUGUUCUUAUUAAGGCCCUGUCCUUGCCAUAAUUCAUAAUUGACUUUAUUACCAGUGGCUGGCUCCAAAAUGCGUUUUGCUACAGACGCAACAUGGUUAAUAUCCUGUUAGUACUAGGGCUGUCAAGCAAUUAAAAAAUGUAAUCGCGCACUUAAAAAUAAUAAAAUACCAUUUAAACAUU